rnacentral:rRNA from 1 species
AUUGAACGCUGGCGGAAUGCUUUACACAUGCAAGUCGAACGGCAGCACGGACUUCGGUCUGGUGGCGAGUGGCGAACGGGUGAGUAAUGUAUCGGAACGUGCCCAGUCGUGGGGGAUAACGUAGUGAAAAUUACGCUAAUACCGCAUACGAUCUAUGGAUGAAAGCGGGGGAUCGCAAGACCUCGCGCGAUUGGAGCGGCCGAUAUCAGAUUAGGUAGUUGGUGGGGUAAGGGCCCACCAAGCCAACGAUCUGUAGCUGGUCUGAGAGGACGACCAGCCACACUGGAACUGAGACACGGUCCAGACUCCUACGGGAGGCAGCAGUGGGGAAUUUUGGACAAUGGGCGAAAGCCUGAUCCAGCCAUUCCGCGUGCAGGAUGAAGGCCUUCGGGUUGUAAACUGCUUUUGUACGGAACGAAACGGUGAGCUCUAAUACAGUUUGCUAAUGACGGUACCGUAAGAAUAAGCACCGGCUAACUACGUGCCAGCAGCCGCCGUAA